rnacentral:rRNA from 1 species
GCAAGUCGAGCGGUAGCACAGAGAGCUUGCUCUCGGGUGACGAGCGGCGGACGGGUGAGUAAUGUCUGGGAAACUGCCUGAUGGAGGGGGAUAACUACUGGAAACGGUAGCUAAUACCGCAUAAUGUCGCAAGACCAAAGUGGGGGACCUUCGGGCCUCAUGCCAUCAGAUGUGCCCAGAUGGGAUUAGCUAGUAGGUGGGGUAACGGCUCACCUAGGCGACGAUCCCUAGCUGGUCUGAGAGGAUGACCAGCCACACUGGAACUGAGACACGGUCCAGACUCCUACGGGAGGCAGCAGUGGGGAAUAUUGCACAAUGGGCGCAAGCCUGAUGCAGCCAUGCCGCGUGUGUGAAGAAGGCCUUCGGGUUGUAAAGCACUUUCAGCGGGGAGGAAGGCGAUAAGGUUAAUAACCUUGUCGAUUGACGUUACCCGCAGAAGAAGCACCGGCUAACUCCGUGCCAGCAGCCGCGGUAAUACGGAGGGUGCAAGCGUUAAUCGGAAUUACUGGGCGUAAAGCGCACGCAGGCGGUCUGUCAAGUCGGAUGUGAAAUCCCCGGGCUCAACCUGGGAACUGCAUUCGAAACUGGCAGGCUAGAGUCUUGUAGAGGGGGGUAGAAUUCCAGGUGUAGCGGUGAAAUGCGUAGAGAUCUGGAGGAAUACCGGUGGCGAAGGCGGCCCCCUGGACAAAGACUGACGCUCAGGUGCGAAAGCGUGGGGAGCAAACAGGAUUAGAUACCCUGGUAGUCCACGCCGUAAACGAUGUCGAUUUGGAGGUUGUGCCCUUGAGGCGUGGCUUCCGGAGCUAACGCGUUAAAUCGACCGCCUGGGGAGUACGGCCGCAAGGUUAAAACUCAAAUGAAUUGACGGGGGCCCGCACAAGCGGUGGAGCAUGUGGUUUAAUUCGAUGCAACGCGAAGAACCUUACCUGGUCUUGACAUCCACAGAACUUAGCAGAGAUGCUUUGGUGCCUUCGGGAACUGUGAGACAGGUGCUGCAUGGCUGUCGUCAGCUCGUGUUGUGAAAUGUUGGGUUAAGUCCCGCAACGAGCGCAACCCUUAUCCUUUGUUGCCAGCGGUUCGGCCGGGAACUCAAAGGAGACUGCCAGUGAUAAACUGGAGGAAGGUGGGGAUGACGUCAAGUCAUCAUGGCCCUUACGACCAGGGCUACACACGUGCUACAAUGGCAUAUACAAAGAGAAGCGACCUCGCGAGAGCAAGCGGACCUCAUAAAGUAUGUCGUAGUCCGGAUUGGAGUCUGCAACUCGACUCCAUGAAGUCGGAAUCGCUAGUAAUCGUAGAUCAGAAUGCUACGGUGAAUACGUUCCCGGGCCUUGUACACACCGCCCGUCACACCAUGGGAGUGGGUUGCAAAAGAAGUAGGUAGCUUAACCUUCGGGAGGG